rnacentral:autocatalytically_spliced_intron from 1 species
UUAUAUCUUUCAAAUAUUUGAAAGAUUGGAACGAAGUGUAAUUCUGCUUCGAACACAGUUUUACGCUAACACGCCGUCCCCUUCCAAAUAUAAAAAUAUUUGUCAGGGUGAUGAUAUAGUCUAUUCACCAG